ACAAAAGAAGGCAAUACGUGGUGACUACAUUAGAUAUCGUUAAGUUUAUAUUAUUUGAUGUUAAUGAAUGUUAUUUAAGGUUUCCGUUCAACUCGCAAGAAAACUUGAUUACAUGUGGCUAAAAAUUGGCUCACGAAGUGACCAGCAGUGCAUAAACACAGCACUGAACUUAAAUGCUUAGGUAGUGCCGACGAUUGACAUCCUGUAAAUUCAUACUGGACCUCUGCGUAGGCACCAGCUUAUUAAUUAAUUACUUUUCAG
rnacentral:lncRNA from 1 species